GUGGGGAAUAUUGGGCAAUGGGCGAAAGCCUGACCCAGCAACGCCGCGUGAAGGAAGAAGGUCUUCGGAUCGUAAACUUCUAUCCUUGGUGAAGAUAAUGACGGUAGCCGAGAAGGAAGCCCCGGCUAACUACGUGCCAGCAGCCGCGGUAAUACGUAGGGGGCAAGCGUUGUCCGGAAUGAUUGGGCGUAAAGGGCGCGUAGGCGGCCCGGUAAGUCUGAAGUGAAAGUCCUGCUUUUAAGGUGGGAAUUGCUUUGGAUACUGUCGGGCUUGAGUGCAGGAGAGGUAAGCGGAAUUCCCGGUGUAGCGGUGAAAUGCGUAGAGAUCGGGAGGAACACCAGUGGCGAAGGCGGCUUACUGGACUGUAACUGACGCUGAGGCGCGAAAGUGUGGGGAGCAAACAGGAUUAGAUACCCCUGUAGUCC
rnacentral:rRNA from 1 species